rnacentral:misc_RNA from 1 species
GAAGACAAAGAUGAGAGAGUGGCUCUCAAGGCUGUCAAAAAUGGGAGCUGCAGAUGAGUUGACAGAACAGCAGGCCCGUCAACUCCAUUUCGAUCUUGAAUCAUCAUACAAUUCUUUCAUGGCGGCACUGCCCUCUGCUGGAACUUAAUUGCUUAUUUCAGAUCCAUAUAUCGUAAGGGGUCCAGAUACGUAGCUACAAUAUUAGGCCAAACAGCUAGGAAUAUGUAAUGAAGCUGCUGUCUCAGUCCCUAGCUAUUUACUUUCAUUCAAAGUUAAUAACUACAAGACACUGGUCUGGACCACUUACCAUCAACAUGUUAACUAUUUGUGUUCCUUUUGUGAGCAGCUAGAGGAGAAGUAGAUGAUCAUCAACAGUGAAACUAAUUGUACUAUAAAAAGUGGGGAGACUAUCGAUUAAUGCAUUUGUACUACUUUGUGUUUUAUGUCAUUCUGGUCGUCUAUUUGAUUUGUUUGUCUAUUCAUUAGCUAAAAAACAAC